rnacentral:rRNA from 1 species
UACGGAGGGUGCGAGCGUUGUCCGGAAUCACUGGGCGUAAAGGGCGCGUAGGCGGCGCGGGAAGUCCGUGGUGAAAGCCCGAGGCUCAACUUCGGGUCGGCCAUGGAUACUCCUGGGCUUGAGCACUGUAGAGGCAGGUGGAAUUCCGGGUGUAGCGGUGGAAUGCGUAGAGAUCCGGAAGAACACCGGUGGCGAAGGCGGCCUGCUGGGCAGUAGCUGACGCUGAGGCGCGAAAGCGUGGGUAGCAAACAGG